GUUUUUUUUUAAUUUCUAUAUUAGGUUUUACUUCGAAUCAGAACAAGGAUUAUUUCCAAACACGGAAUUUGUGUUUGACGUAGAACUGCCGGUGGAUUUUGUUCCAAAAAAUGCUGACGGCGAAGUGCAAAAGUUCGAACUCCUGCCUGCGAAAAAAUGUUUAGAAAGGUUAUUUAGUUCAGAUUUUAAAACAACUAGUAUACCGGUCGCGUUAGAUUUUUUGUUACGUCACGGAGUAAUAUCGCCCGAAAACGAAACACAUUAUACAAGGAUAGUAGAAUUACUUCACGUUCCAUUACAAAAAAUAUACAAUAAUCAUCACAUUUGUAAAGAAAACGGUGGCAACGAAGACCAUGUAUAAUAAUAAAUUGGAAGCCGAUAAUAACUUU